rnacentral:rRNA from 1 species
AGUGAACGCUGGCGGUAGGCCUAACACAUGCAAGUCGAACGGCAGCACAGUAAGAGCUUGCUCUUACGGGUGGCGAGUGGCGGACGGGUGAGGAAUACAUCGGAAUCUACUUUUUCGUGGGGGAUAACGUAGGGAAACUUACGCUAAUACCGCAUACGACCUACGGGUGAAAGCAGGGGAUCUUCGGACCUUGCGCGAUUGAAUGAGCCGAUGUCGGAUUAGCUAGUUGGCGGGGUAAAGGCCCACCAAGGCGACGAUCCGUAGCUGGUCUGAGAGGAUGAGCAGCCACACUGGAACUGAGACACGGUCCAGACUCCUACGGGAGGCAGCAGUGGGGAAUAUUGGACAAUGGGCGCAAGCCUGAUCCAGCCAUGCCGCGUGGGUGAAGAAGGCCUUCGGGUUGUAAAGCCCUUUUGUUGGGAAAGAAAAGCAGCAGGUUAAGACCCCGCUGUUCUGACGGUACCCAAAGAAUAAGCACCGGCUAACUUCGUG